rnacentral:rRNA from 1 species
AGUGAACGCUGGCGGUAGGCCUAACACAUGCAAGUCGAACGGCAGCACAGUAAUAGCUUGCUCUUACGGGUGGCGAGUGGCGGACGGGUGAGGAAUACAUCGGAAUCUACUUUUUCGUGGGGGAUAACGUAGGGAAACUUACGCUAAUACCGCAUACGACCUACGGGUGAAAGCAGGGGAUCUUCUGACCUUGCGCGAUUGAAUUAGCCGAUGUCGGAUUAGCUAGUUGGCGGGGUAAAGGCCCACCAAGGCGACGAUCCGUAGCUGGUCUGAGAGGAUGAUAAGCCACACUGGAACUGAGACAGGGUCCAGACUACUACGGGAGGCAGCAGUGGGGAAUAUUGGACAAUGGGCGCAAGCCUGAUCCAGCCAUACCGCGUGGGUGAAGAAGGCCUUCGGGUUGUAAAGCCCUUUUGUUGGGAAAGAAAAGCAGCAGGUUAAUACCCCGCUGUUCUGACGGUACCCAAAGAAUAAGCACCGGCUAACUUCGUG